rnacentral:rRNA from 1 species
CCUACGGGUGGCAGCAGUGGGGAAUCUUGCGCAAUGGGCGAAAGCCUGACGCAGCGACGCCGCGUGAGGGCUGAAGGUCUUCGUAUCGUAAACCUCUGUCAGCAGGGAAGCACGGUCACUGUGCUAAUCAGCAGUGCAUUGACGGUACCUGCCCUGGACGCACCGGCUAACUCCGUGCCAGCAGUCGCGGUAAUACGGUGGGUGCGCGCGUUAAUCGGAAUUACUGGGCGUAAAGCGCGCGGAGGCGGGAUGUGAAGUCCAGGGUGAAAUCCGCGCGCUCAACGUGGGAACUGCCUGUGAAGUUGGUAAACUAGAGUGUGGGAGAGGAUAGUGGAAUUCCAGGUGUAGGAGGGAAAGCCGUAGAUAUCUGGAGGAACAGCAGUGGCGAAGGCGAGUAUCUGGCACAUAACUGACGCUGAGGAGCGAAAGCGUGGGUAGCAAACAGGAUUAGAUACCCGUGUAGUC